rnacentral:rRNA from 1 species
UACGGAGGGGGCUAGCGUUGUUCGGAAUUACUGGGCGUAAAGCGCGCGUAGGCGGCUUUGUAAGUUAGAGGUGAAAGCCCGGAGCUCAACUUCAGAAUUGCCUUUAAGACUGCAUCGCUUGAAUCAUGGAGAGGUCAGUGGAAUUCCCGGUGUAGAGGUGAAAUUCGUAGAUAUCGGGAGGAACACCAGUGGCGAAGGCGGCGACCUGGGCCAAUAUUGACGCUGAGGUGCGAAAGCGUGGGGAGCAAACAGG